rnacentral:rRNA from 1 species
UGUAUAGCCUAUGCUAUAGGCUAGCUAUAACGGUUAAAUUAUGGUUUAUUUUUUUUAUUUUUUUUUACUUGUAUUUUUUUCUUAUCUCCUUCACCUGGUGUCCGGAGGUAGGAAAAAAUACCCUUUUAGGUACAGUAUUAUUUUAAUGACUAACCUUCCAUAGUUUAAGGAUUGUUCCAGUAUACUAUUUGUUUAAGAAGACCCGGCGCCAAACUGGCUUUUCUUUUUCAUCUAAAAUUUAUUAAUUAGAGGUUUAGCUUUGCCUAUUCCUCGCUAAUCUAAAGAAUUUGAAAUUAAUUUAGUAUACUUUGUUGUUUUAUAUUAGAAAUCUUAUUUUUAUUUUUUAAUUAUUAACUGGGUUUAAACCCAGGCUGACGGUAUAGUAGCGAUUUUGUCGCAWAAAGUUCUAGGUAUUUUAAUAUGGUUGAUAAUGACAAUCAAAUAUCUAUUUGUCUUGACCAAAUUACGUGCCAGCAGUCGCGGUAAUACGUAAAAGACUAGUGUUAUUCAUCUUUAAUAGGUUUAUAGGGUACCUAGACGGUAAAUUUAAUCUUAAACAAGAUAUGUUUUUACUAGAGUUUUAUGGGAGGAGGUGAGUAUUUAUGGAGUAGAGUUGAAAUUCUUUGAUCCCAUAACGACUGGUAAAGGCGAAAGCAACCUUUUAUGUAAUAACUGACGUUGAGGGACGAAGGCUCGGGUCGCGAACAGGAUUAGAUACCCUAGUAGUCCGAGCAGAGAAUUAUGAAUGCCAUAGAUUAGAUAUUUAUUUAGUCUAUAAAUGAAAGUGCAAGCAUUCCACCUCAAGAGUAAUGUGGCAACGCAGAAACUGAAAUCAUUAGACCGUUUCUGAAACCAGUAGUGAAGUAUGUUAUUUAAUUCGUAGUUACGCGAAAAACCUUACCACAAUUUGAAUAUUAUACUAAUCUUUGAUAUUUCUUUUCAUGUAAGAGUACAAAUAUAUAUUUGUUAAAAAGAUUAGUAUAUUACAAGCGUUGCACGGCUGUUUUUAGUUAAUGUCGUGAGAUAUUGGUUUGCUCCUUUAAAUUAACGGAAGCCCUUGCUUUAUUUGUAUCUUUUUAUGAUAAAUAAAGCAGUUCGCCUGGAUUUGGGUAUGAUAACAGGGAAUAAGA